rnacentral:rRNA from 1 species
UAAAUAGCUCGAUUGACUUUGGUCGGUCGCUAGCUUCUUAGAGGGACUUUUGGCUCAAGCCAAUGGAAGUACGAGGCAAUAACAGGUCUGUGAUGCCCUUAGAUGUUCUGGGCCGCACGCGCGCUACACUGACAGAGUCAGCGAGUACAUCACCUUGGCCGAAAGGU